UUGUCGUGAUCGGAAUUUGUCGCCGCUGCCGCUUGAGGUAGGUGGCUGCCGAGCUGCCGCCGAACCGGCUCGGAGACCGCCACUGUUUCGGUUCAGCCGUUCUUUCUUGGUUUUGAGUUGUUGAGACUGUUGCGAAAGUGGCUUGGAGCUGAGGUUUUGGUUGCCGUCAGUUCGGUUUGAGACAGAAAGGACUUGAUGAGGCAUUUGGGUUAUGGAUUUGCGUUUUGAGGUAGGGGCGCUUUCC